ensembl:snRNA
GUUUCAGACGCAAGGAGAAAAGGUUAGCACUACCCUUGACAAGACCCUUGGGUCUGAUGAAAGACACAGUUUAAGGCAUUGUCACCUACUUUGUGUCAUCUAACUGUGGUUUUUA